CUUAAUUUUAUUGCUCUAGGAAUCUAAGAAGAAACACUUAAAUUUUCUCUCUUGGCUUUCUAUUUUGUAGGAUUUAUUUCUUGGUAGCACGGAUACGGUUCCAGCUACUGUUGAAUGGGCAAUGGCUGAAUUACUCUGGAACCCCAAGAAGAUGACCAAAGCUAAAAGUGAGCUUAUUGAUUUGAUUGGAGAGCAUGAUGUGAUUCAAGAAUAAGAUAUUUCAAUACUCCCUUACUUAUAGGCCUUAGUGAAAGAAAUACAUAGGCUUCACCUCGUCAGACCCUUUUUAGUACCUCAUAAAGCUGUGGUCGAUGUAGAAAUCAAUGGUUACGUAGUCCCCAAAAAUGCUCAAAUACUAGUUAACAUAUGGGCAAGCAGUAGAGAUUCAAACAUUUGGUCCAUUCUAGAUUUGCUUAUGCCAGAAAGAUUUUUAGAUCUCAAAAUUGAUUUCAAUGGCCAAGAUUUCAAGUUCAUUCCCUUGGUACAGGUAGGAGACUAUGCCCGGAAUUGCCUUUGGCGCACCGGGUAGUUCAUGUCAUGUUGGCAAUUUUGAUACGCAACUUUGAUUGGAGACUUGAAGAGGGACUAAAACCAGAAGACAUUGACAUGAGAAAUAUACAACUACUCUACACAAGGCCACACCUCUCAAGGCUUUUCCAAUCAAAUUGUGAUCUCUAUCUUUGUUUUAUAAGCUGAAGAGUGAUUUUACAUGUUUUAUACUGGUGAAUAAAAGACGUAUGUUUUAUAAGCGGA
rnacentral:lncRNA from 1 species